GGAUGUGAAGGUGAUCUGGCUGCAACAUCUGUCACCCUAUUGAUCAUCAGGGUUGAUUCAGCUGAUCUGGCUGGCUAGGUGGAUGUCCCCAUCCUUCCUCACCACUCCUUGUGUGUCCCGAAGCUGCUGAAGAGGACAACCUUCCCCUAUAGAGGAGAAUAUAGAAUAGGACCCUACUUGGGUCAAAGGUAUGGCCAAGGGUAUACGAAUAGCAGCAUUCCCUUUCUAGAACCUUCAGACAAUCCCUCAAGAGUGGAUAUAGAUUAUUGGAUGACAUCAGUUUCUUGUAUAACUGGACAGAUUAUUUUCCCUACACAAAAAUAUAUCAAAUUCAUAUUUUGUUUAUUUAU
ensembl:misc_RNA 7SK 7SK RNA